AAGCACUUGUUUUUCUUCAUUUCGUAUAAAUCUUUCGCCUUUUACUAAAGAUUUCCGUGGAGAUGAACUGGUGUGUUUGUGUAUAUCUGUACUUCUGUUCUGCAGUUCUAUAGCAACUUCA
ensembl:snRNA U5 U5 spliceosomal RNA